rnacentral:misc_RNA from 1 species
AUGGUAGGUUCUUGGAAAGCUAAAGUAUAUGAUAUGCAUAAUGUUGUUGUGAGCAUAAAAUCAAGGAGGGUUCCUGGAGCUAUGACGGAUGAUGAAUUUUUCAAUUCUUGCAAUGAAAAUGAAGCAGAGAAUGAAGAGUUCGAUGAUAUCCUGACAGAGGAAGAAAGAAGGCAGCUUGAGGUUGCUCUCAAGUCAGACUCUUCUGAUUUAAGCAACGAGAAUGGAGAUGGGAUCAUUCCACAUCGCCAUAGUUGUUAUGAACAAAGAGAUAUUCCCAUUGAGGAG